ensembl:snoRNA
GACCUCCCCGGGACCGCCUCUGGAGAGCUUUCAGUACUCUUCCAGCUUCGGAAGCAGGAGGGAGAACAACUGCAGAGGAAUACCCAUUCCAUUACUAACUUUGGAAGUGGCUAGUUAAUGGAAGGCAAUCUGCUACAGGU